GACGAACGCUGGCGGCGUGCUUAACACAUGCAAGUCGAGCGGUAAGGCCCUUUCGGGGGUACACGAGCGGCGAACGGGUGAGUAACACGUGGGUGACCUGCCCUCAGCUCUGGGAUAAGCCUGGGAAACCGGGUCUAAUACUGGAUAUGACUCCAUGACGCAUGUUGUGGGGUGGAAAGCCUUGUGCGGCUGAGGAUGGGGCCCGCGGCCUAUCAGCUUGUUGGUGGGGUGANGGCCUACCAAGGCGACGACGGGUAGCCGGCCUGAGAGGGCGACCGGCCACACUGGGACUGAGACACGGCCCAGACUCCUACGGGAGGCAGCAGUGGGGAAUCUUGCGCAAUGGGCGAAAGCCUGACGCAGCGACGCCGCGUGAGGGAUGACGGCCUGGU
rnacentral:rRNA from 1 species